CCUACGGGUGGCAGCAGUGAGGAAUAUUGGUCAAUGGGCGCGAGCCUGAACCAGCCAAGUAGCGUGAAGGAUGACUGCCCUACGGGUUGUAAACUUCUUUUAUAAAGGAAUAAAGUGAGGCACGUGUGCCUUUUUGUAUGUACUUUAUGAAUAAGGAUCGGCUAACUCCGUGCCAGCAGCCGCGGUAAUACGGAGGAUCCGAGCGUUAUCCGGAUUUAUUGGGUUUAAAGGGUGCGUAGAUGGGUUGUUAAGUCAGUGGUGAACGUUUGCGGCUCAACCGGAAAAGUGCAAUUGAUACUGGCAGCCGUGAGGAGAGGUGAGGUAGGCGGAAUGCGUGGUGUAGCGGUGAAAUGCUUAGAUAUCACGAAGAACUCCGAUUGCGAAGGCAGCUUACUAAACGGCCACUGACAUUGAUGCUCGAAAGUGUGGGUAUCAAACAGGAUUAGAUACCCGUGUAGUC
rnacentral:rRNA from 1 species